UGGCAACUCUGUAGAUACCAUCUCUGG
rnacentral:piRNA from 1 species